rnacentral:rRNA from 1 species
UACGGGGGGAGCAAGCGUUGUUCGGAUUUACUGGGCGUAAAGGGCGCGUAGGCGGCCACCGCAAGUCGGUUGUGAAAUCUCCGGGCUUAACCCGGAAAGGUCAAUCGAUACUGCGGGGCUAGAGUGCAGAAGGGGCAACUGGAAUUCUCGGUGUAGCGGUGAAAUGCGUAGAUAUCGCUUGGAACGCCGACGGUGAAAACAGGUCGCUGGGGUUGUGCCGACGCUGAGACACGAAAGCCAGGGGAGCGAACGGG